UCUUGACCUCGGAUCAGGUAGGGAUACCCGCUGAACUUAAGCAUACA
rnacentral:rRNA from 1 species